UACGUAGGGUGCAAGCGUUGUCCGGAAUUAUUGGGCGUAAAGAGCUCGUAGGCGGUCUGUCACGUCGGACGUGAAAAUCCAGGGCUCAACCCUGGACCUGCGUUCGAUACGGGCAGACUAGAGUUCGGUAGGGGAGACUGGAAUUCCUGGUGUAGCGGUGAAAUGCGCAGAUAUCAGGAAGAACACCUAUGGCGAAGGCAGCUCUCUGGGACGGUACUGACGCUGAGACGCGAAAGCGUGGGGAGCGAACAGG
rnacentral:rRNA from 1 species